UAACAUAAUAAGUCCUACCUGCCCAGUGAUUUUUUCAACGGCCAUCUCUGAUGAUAACGUAGCAUAAUCAAUUGUCUAUUAAUUUUAGACUAGAAUGAAUGGAUUAACGAAAGCCAAACUGUCUCCUAAUUUUAAUCAAUGAAAUUAUCCUUUCUGUUCAAAGACAGAAAUUUUCUUAUAAGACGAAAAGACCCUAAAAGCUUCAAACAUUAAAUUAACCUAUCUAUAAAAGCAAAUAAAGAAAAAUACUAAUUUUAAAAAUUUGGUUGGGGCAACCAUUGAAUAAAACUAUCAUCAAUAAUUAAACGAAAAAUUUUCUUAAAACAAAGUAACAACUUAAUUAAAUAAGAAACUUAUUAAAAUGACCCAGAAUCUUCUGAUCAAUGAACAAGUUACUUUAGGGAUAACAGCGCUAUUUCUUUUUAAAGUUCACAUCGACAAAGAAGCUUACGACCUCGAUGUUGGAUUAAGAUACCCAAGUGGUGCAAAAGCUACUAAUGGUUCGUUUGUUCAACGAAUAAUAUCUUACGUGAUCUAGUUUCAAAAC
rnacentral:rRNA from 1 species